rnacentral:rRNA from 1 species
UGCCAGCAGCCGCGGUAAUACGGAGGGAGCUAGCGUUGUUCGGAAUUACUGGGCGUAAAGCGCGCGUAGGCGGUUUGUCAAGUCAGGUGUGAAAGCCCGGGGCUCAACCCCGGAACUGCACUUGAUACUGGCUCACUUGAGAAUGGUAGGGGAUAGUGGAAUUCCUAGUGUAGAGGUGAAAUUCGUAGAUAUUAGGAGGAACACCGGAGGCGAAGGCGGCUAUCUGGACCAUUUCUGACGCUGAGGUGCGAAAGCGUGGGGAGCGAACAGGAUUAGAUA